CACGUAGGGUGCGAGCGUUGUCCGGAAUUAUUGGGCGUAAAGAGCUCGUAGGCGGUGUGUCGCGUCGGCCGUGAAAACCUGCAGCUUAACUGUGGGCUUGCGGUCGAUACGGGCAUCACUGGAGUUCGGCAGGGGAGACUGGAAUUCCUGGUGUAGCGGUGAAAUGCGCAGAUAUCAGGAGGAACACCGAUGGCGAAGGCAGGUCUCUGGGCAUUAACUGGCGCUGAGGAGCGAAAGCAUGGGGAGCGAACAGG
rnacentral:rRNA from 1 species